UACUGGGGCAACCCAAGGCACAGAAACAUCCUGUAAGUGGAUGGGAGAUGGCCUUGAGGUUUCACAGAGGCUGGUACAUGAUCUAAUGUCUGUGGAACUGGGGUGCUUGUGGCCAGUGCCCAUGAGAUGUUGGUGCCCAGUGUCCAACAUAGAAGCCAGCGAGAACCUGCCAGGUCCCCACCCUGACUCCGUGUCAAGGUUUCCCAACAUCUAACCUGUUUUGUGAAUUUGGUAAGAUGGAAAGUCGAACAUUAAUGAGGGUUGUUCAACAAAAACAUUACCUUAAAAGGUAAAUUCAAUCCGCUAACUGACCAGCUUUAAAAAAACACAGACCAUUGUUCUUCUAAAACACACUGAGCUUCUGUCUGGGGAGGUGACUGAGAAACAUACUCCAGGUUCAUAAAGCCUGGCAACACAUCACACAUUGGGUGAUCCAUUCCCAGGACCCAGGAGAAGGU